GGAAAAAAUUGCACUUAUUGCAAGUGCUACUUUAUUUCUCAAUUUCAAAUUAACAAGUAGAUAAUGAAAUGUUUACAUUUUUUCUAACAAGUAAACUAGUGACGUAGUAAUUUCAAAAUGUUUUGCAUCGCCUUAGCAAGUUCAUCAUAAUCAAUAUGAACCGAUUGACCUUCUUCUGGGGAGUUAAAUUACGAUGGGUUUCCAUGGGUUAAUAUAUCUCCAAGUUCUUCGUCUUCUGGGCUAUCAACAUCUUCCUUUCC
rnacentral:lncRNA from 1 species